AUAUAUAUAUAUAUAUAUAUAUAUAUAUAUAUAUAUAGUUUAGCUGGAGUACUACCGAUAGUAAACGAGUUUUGUUACCACUCAAUUAUAUUUUAUGAUAGAGUUUUUAAAUAGACGAUCGGCAUCAUUGAACAUAAUAUAUACCAUUUGAAGCAUUUAGAAACAAAUUUUCAAUUUUUUUCGGCAUCAUUGACCUAAUUAUAAUAAAAAAGUUUCAAAAUUUAUAAAUUUAAUAUUAGAUAUGAAACGUUUUUUCGUUUAACGAUAUAAAACUAUCCAAAUUAAUUAAAUUUUGGUUAGAAAAUUUUUUAAACUAUUUAGAAUAAGAUUUAUAUUCUCGAUCUUGAUUACAAAAUUUCUAUCAUCAUUUUUUAGAAGAUAUUCAUUUUCAACCAUUCAUUUUUACGUCCACUUAAUGGACAAGAAAAUAAUAUCAAAAAAAUAUGAAAUUUGGUUUUUAAAUACUUUAAGUAAUAUACAUCAUAUUCAAUGAUGUCGAUCGUUGAUUUGAAGGCUCCAUCAUCGAAAACAAAUAGGUAGCAACAGAACUCGUUUUCUACUGAUAGCAUUCCAGCUCAACUAUAUA
rnacentral:lncRNA from 1 species